ACAUGUAUACCAUGUAUACAAUAUCUGUAUACUAGUGUAUAUCAGCCUUCUCCCUGCGUUUUUUGCUUCUUAAGAAAUGUAUUUUCUUCCAAUUCGAACGCAAUCAAGGUUGACCAAGAGAAAGAUCGAGAUAUUGGGUUCUGACCCGACUGGAUAAUGCAGUAGAGUCUCAAAUAGACUCGGAUGAGGGAAGUUCAUGCAAAUUAAAAGAUAAAGAUUAGCUAGAGAUUAUUCAAAGAUACAAUCACGAUUUUAAUGAAAAUAAUCACUAAAUGAUUUGCUUAAGUCUCCNNNN
rnacentral:lncRNA from 1 species